AUUGAACGCUGGCAGCAGGCCUAACACAUGCAAGUCGAACGGUAACAGGAAGCAGCUUGCUGCUUCGCUGACGAGUGGCGGACGGGUGAGUAAUGUCUGGGAAGCUGCCUGAUGGAGGGGAUAACUACUGGAAACGGUAGCUAAUACCGCAUAAUGUCGCAAGACCAAAGAGGGGGGACCUUCGGGCCUCUUGCCAUCGGAUGUGCCCAGAUGGGAUUAGCUUGUUGGUGGGGUAACGGCUCACCAAGGCGACGAUCCCUAGCUGGUCUGAGAGGGUGACCAGCCACACUGGAACUGAGACACGGUCCAGACUCCUACGGGAGGCAGCAGUGGGGAAUAUUGCACAAUGGGCGCAAGCCUGAUGCAGCCAUGCCGCGUGUAUGAAGAAGGCCUUC
rnacentral:rRNA from 1 species